rnacentral:lncRNA from 1 species
CACUCAUGGCCAAGCUGGUGAUUCUCGCCACCCCGGCCCCAUUGACGCUGCCUUGAGAGUUGCUCCAGAGUAGGGCUCCAGAGCUUGGAGCAGCAUGGGCACCGAGAAGGAAGAGCCCGACUGUCAAAAACAGUUCCAGGCAGCAGUCAGCGUCAUUCAGAACCUGCCUAAGAAUGGUGAGCCUGUAGGGUUCAGGAUGGUUGGGCUCCGACCCCCGAGAUAGAACUGGGCCUGAACCCUGCACAUGCUUACAGACAAGUUCCUCCCUAGGCUGUGGUGGGGUUCCUUCUGCUUCCUGUCUUAGAUGCUACGGGUGAGAUCCGGAGCCACCUUUACCCCUUCCAAGGAGCAGCCUCCACCCUUGAACUGGGGCUGAUGAGGUACCCUCCCCUUCCCAACCCUCUGCUCAGGCUCUUACCGCCCCUCCUAUGAAGAGAUGCUGCGAUUCUACAGCUACUACAAGCAGGCUACCGCGGGGCCCUGCCUGGUCCCCCGACCUGGGUUCUGGGACCCCAUUGGACGUUACAAGUGGUGAGCUCCCCUCCUGCAGGGUAAAAAUGCCUCAGCUGACACCCAGAUUUCUUACAGCCCUCUGCUUCCUAGGGAUGCCUGGAACAGCCUGGGGAAGAUGAGCAGGGAGGAAGCCAUGUCCGCCUACAUCACGGAGAUGAAGCUGGUGGCACAGAAGGUGAUCGACACAGUGCCCCUGGGCGAGGUGGCAGAGGAUAUGUUUGGUUAUUUCGAGCCCCUGUACCAGGUGAUCCCGGACAUGCCGAGGC